GACGAACGCUGGCGGCGUGCUUAACACAUGCAAGUCGAACGGCGAACCAGAGCUUGCUCUGGGGAUCAGUGGCGAACGGGUGAGUAACACGUGGGCAACCUGCCCCAGACUCUGGGAUAACCUCGGGAAACCGAUGCUAAUACCGGAUACGACCACUUCGGACAUCCGACGGUGGUGGAAAGUUUUUUCGGCUGGGAUGGGCCCGCGGCCUAUCAGCUAGUUGGUGGGGUAAUGGCCUACCAAGGCGACGACGGGUAGCCGGCCCUGAGAGGGCGACCGGCCACACUGGAACUGAGACACGGUCCAGACUCCUACGGGAGGCAGCAGUGGGGAAUAUUGCACAAUGGGCGAAAGCCUGAUGCAGCGACGCCGCGUGA
rnacentral:rRNA from 1 species